rnacentral:rRNA from 1 species
AACGAACGCUGGCGGCAUGCCUAACACAUGCAAGUCGAACGAGACCUUCGGGUCUAGUGGCGCACGGGUGCGUAACACGUGGGAAUCUGCCCUUCGGUUCGGAAUAACAGUUAGAAAUGACUGCUAAUACCGGAUAAUGACGUAAGUCCAAAGAUUUAUCGCCGAAGGAUGAGCCCGCGUAGGAUUAGGUAGUUGGUGGGGUAAUGGCCUACCAAGCCGACGAUCCUUAGCUGGUCUGAGAGGAUGAUCAGCCACACUGGGACUGAGACACGGCCCAGACUCCUACGGGAGGCAGCAGUGGGGAAUAUUGGACAAUGGGCGAAAGCCUGAUCCAGCAAUGCCGCGUGAGUGAUGAAGGCCUUAGGGUUGUAAAGCUCUUUUACCCGGGAUGAUAAUGACAGUACCGGGAGAAUAAGCUCCGGCUAACUCCGUGCCAGCAGCCGCUGUAACAC